ACAAAAAUUGUCUAAAUACGUCGUAUAAAGUUGGGGAUAUGGCCCAAAAGUUUCUACCAAGCUACCGUAAAGAGCUUGACUACGAGGUAUUAUAUAAGAUUG
rfam:Bacillus sp. HMSC76G11 genomic scaffold Scaffold115, whole genome shotgun sequence.